CUGGGUGGAUUAGUGGCGAACGGGUGAGUAACACGUGAGUAACCUGCCCUUGACUCUAGGAUAAGCCCGGGAAACUGGGUCUAAUACUGGAUAGGAACGUCUACCGCAUGGUGGAUGUUGGAAAGAAUUUCGGUCAUGGAUGGACUCGCGGCCUAUCAGCUUGUUGGUGAGGUAAUGGCUCACCAAGGCGACGACGGGUAGCCGGCCUGAGAGGGUGACCGGCCACACUGGGACUGAGACACGGCCCAGACUCCUACGGGAGGCAGCAGUGGGGAAUAUUGCACAAUGGGCGAAAGCCUGAUGCAGCGACGCCGCGUGAGGGAUGACGGCCUUCGGGUUGUAAACCUCUUUCAGUAGGGAAGAAGCGAAAGUGACGGUACCUGCAGAAGAAGCACCGGCUAACUACGUGCCAGCAGCCGCGGUAAUACGUAGGGUGCGAGCGUUAUCCGGAAUUAUUGGGCGUAAAGAGCUCGUAGGCGGUUUGUCGCGUCUGUCGUGAAAGUCCGGGGCUUAACCCCGGAUCUGCGGUGGGUACGGGCAGACUAGAGUGCAGUAGGGGAGACUGGAAUUCCUGGUGUAGCGGUGGAAUGCGCAGAUAUC
rnacentral:rRNA from 1 species